AUUGAACGCUUGCGGCAGGCCUAACACAUGCAAGUCGAGCGAGCGGCGGACGGGUGAGUAUUGUAUGGGGACUGCCCGAUAUAGGGGGAUAACUACUGGAAACGGUAGCUAAUACCGCAUAUUAUCUGAUUACCCAUAUGGGAUGAGCUAGUAGGUGGGGAAAUGGCUCACCUAGGCGACGAUCCCUAGCUGGUCUGAGAGGAUGAUCAGCCACACUGGAACUGAGACACGGCCCAGACUCCUACGGAGGCAGCAGUGGGGAAUAUUGCACAAUGGGCGCAAGCCUGAUGCAGCCAUGCCGCGUGUAUGAAGAAGGCCCUAGGGUUGUAAAGUACUUUCAGUCGGGAGGCGUUACCGACAGAAGAAGCACCGGCUAACUCCGUGCCAGCAGCCGCGGUAAUAC
rnacentral:rRNA from 1 species